GGGCAUUUAGGUUGCUUCCACGUCUUGGCUGUUGUAAAUAUGCUGCAGUGAACAUUGGGGUGCACAGGACUUUUCAUUGUGGCUCUCUUGAUGGCAUUAUGCAGACUCUCAUUCCUGAGGACAUCAGCCCUGGUCACCAUUCCCUUCAGACUCGAGUUGAUGUAAUUCCAUUACCAUCACAGCUGGUCAAGGACGUCCCAAGGAGCACCUCAGUGGAUCACCCGAAUCCACUCCUGUGCCUCCCCCACCCUGUUGUGUAACAGCUGCCCUGCCUGCUCCUCCUCAUGCGUCAAAUGCCCUGCAAGGACGGUGACACCUCCCCUGACCUGCUGGCCCCUAGACACGGGGAGCACAGUUCCCAUGUCCUAUCUGUAGCUUACAAUUAAGUCCCUUGGUGAAAAGUGUGUCCCCGUUGGGGAUGAAGACCUCUAACUCCACUGAGCCCACAGUUGUGGAUACAGGAAGCACACAAUGCCAUGGAGGGUCGUUGGUAAUGGCGGUUGGUGACGCCAUUCCUGCUUCCACACAGUGGUCCCUAGACCCGUGUAUCCUUCCAUCUUGGGGACACAGCACCAUGUAAAGGUCUUUCAUCUAGUACAUAUGCUGCAUCUGAAAGAUGGCACCCUUUUCUGAGGACGUUGCUUCUGAGCUGGGGCUUCAGCUGUGCUGUCACUAGGCCAUUCCAAUGCUCUCUUGCACCAGCAGCUGCUGUAAGGAAAAAAGAUCAGAGAAGGUUUGCAUUAACACGGAGCAGACAUUAUACUCUCACAGUGUUACCCGAGGGCUGUCGUGGUACAGUCUGAAGAGACACAGACUAUUGGACCUUCCACCGAACAUCACAGUGACCCAUCACAGCAGUGAAAUCACUCUGGUCAAGCAGGAUGAGCAAGAGGUGGCUGGCACGUUGGAGACCCUGACACCCUACAUGUGUUCCAGGGGAUGGGCAACAAGCCCUGUAAAGGUUUAGCAACUUACCACAAGAGGUAGCACAUGGUUCCGAUUUUUGCAUUAUAUAUUUCCUUUAUAUAUUAUUUAGGAAGUUUUGGUAGGCUGUUUCUCUAGUUAUUUAUAUAUUUAUUGACUUCAAAUUAUACAUGUUUUCUUAUUAAUUUUGGAAUAUUUUCUGUAACUAGUUAUGUUGAAUUUUUCAUUAUAAUAUUUAUUGGUACAUUCUGUUUUAUUCUUUCAUCUUGGCAGAAGUUUGUCUAUUAGCUUUUACAGUGAACAAGAUGAUGAUUUUGUUGAUCUGUCAGUAUCAUUGUUUCUGUUUAGUUGAUUAGCUGAAAGCUGGACUUGACAGAGGCCAUUACUAAGAUGUCAGAAAUUCCUUGGUAUAAUAUAGAAAUUUAAGGAAAUAUGAUUGUUGAUAUAGAUUUGUCAUGAGUAAUCCACUCACCAAUUCCCUCAAUUUUGACCUCCAAGAGGGGCCAGAAGACACUUCUUUUACCAGGGCAUUGAGAAAUUCCUGGGUGAGGGGAUCACCAGCAUCCUGUAAAAAUGUGCUUAUGGGGGCUGGCCCUGUGGCACAGUGGUUAAGUUCCAUGCACUCUGCUUCAGAGGCCUGGGUUCACAGGUUCAGAUCCCAGAUGCAGACCUACACCACUCGUCAGCCAUGCUGUGGAGGUGUCCCACGUACAAAGUCAAGGAAGACUGGCACAGAUGUUAGCUCAGGGCAAAUCUUCCUCACACAUGUACAAAAAAUACAGGAACUGGAUCUUCUUGAGGAUAGACCCUGUAAUUGGCUCACUACUGUAAAACUUAGGAACCACCCACAGGCCAUUUUACCACUCUGUCAGGCUGACUGCUUCUGAGUAAGCAAAUAAAUGUUAAUACCAGUGGUCUUAACCACGAUCACGAUCCCAUUGUUACGCUUUCUUUGCCUUAAAAUGGGUCAUUGGACCUGAAGCUAGCUGACACGCAUGGGAUGACUCGCACUGUCCUCCGUGUGCUUUCCCUCCUCUUCUCGGUGUUACUGUGAGACGUGAGAGUCCACGCACUUUAUGUCCACCACCAACAUACAGAGUUCAACCACAUCACCUUCUCCUCAAACUUCCUUGUCCCUGAUGUUCCAGUUUUGUUUCCAUCAGGAGCCUAACAAGCAGCCAAGUCAGUUACCUUACUAACUUGACAGUUAGUGUCUAUUCACAUUUCCAGCCAUCCCAGCUUCCAUAUGAAGUAAAUUCCCAAGGGUACCUCGCUGUGACUACUGGGAAAGUUUCCCUCUGACUGUCCUUUAGGGUCUUCACAAAAUGAGGGGCUAACAUGUAUCAGCGGUCCUUUCCGGAUGGCGCUGAUGCUUUUGUGAACUGGGCCUGAGUUGUUUCCUGUGCUGCCGGGUGGUCGUAGGGAAGCCCAGGAGGCCUAACUGCCUGCUGAAGGGAAGGCCGCAGGCAUCUGGACUCCCGUUCACACUUCACUCAGGCUCUCUGGGCUUUCCAAGGCCUGAUCCCAGAACAGGGAGUCGCAGCAGCAGUCAGUGAGCCUGAUGAGACGUCUCGUGACGGCUCACAGCAGCCACGUGCCACGUGGUGGGCCAGUGUUCCGUGUCUGAGGGGCCUGCAGUGUGCCAGAAUCCAUUUUUCAAAUGUGUCCUCUGCCACAGAAGCCAGGGCCUCACUACAGAAUCCCAGAACCCUCUAGCUCUGCCAGAGGUUGAAGUGGACUCCACGCGGCAUCCUUACCUGCCUCAGAGGCGUCUCCCUCAGCCGUCUGCUGCACCGUGUGGCCUUGCGUGUGGGAUAUCCUGCACGCGCCCUGGGCCUGCUGCAGAGCCCAAAACUGGAAGCCUUCCAAGCUACCCAAGAAAUUGGUCAGAGAGGAAUUUCCAUACUGUGCGUUCCAUACUGCCUUCCAAAUGCAGAGAGGUCCACCAAGCCGUGUACCUCUUUCUGGUGUGGGGUGUGAAUUUUAAUAACUUGUCCCUUACCUUGGAGGGAUGUCCUAGCAUUCCUCAGUUCACUAAACUUCUAAACAUGUCACUGUUACGAGGCCCCUAAAUUUUUGCGGGGUUCACCUCGCACCUUCUGGCACAUGUGUGUGUUAUCCUGGUGCUUGCUGCUGCUUGCACAGCAGUUACAGACCCGUCCUCCACAGGGCCCAGGCCCCAGGCCAGCAUCUCUGACCAAUUUCUGCCUGCUAUGGGGUUAUGCCUGCUGGUGACAGAUUCUUACUUUUCCUUCAUCUGAAGGUCAUCAUCGGGACGUCUCUGUUUCUCCUUCAUUUCUGAAGAGUAUUUUUGCUAGAUAGAGAAUUAAGCAUUUACAGUUUUUUUUUCAGCACUUGGAAAAUGUGUCACCUCAUUCUGGCCUCCAUGGUUUCAGAUGAGAAAUCCACUGUCACUUAAUUGUUCCCCUAUAGGGAAUGUAUUGUUUCUCUCUUCAAAUCGAACAGUCACAAUUGAAUUUCUAAUGAAUUUUGUAUAGGGAAUUUGACAGUAUUAUUCUAAAAUUUAUCUAGAAAGGCAAACUCAUAAGAAUAACCUAGAAAAAUUAGAGAAGAAAGAAUAAGAGGGGUCAUGCCCUACCAGAAAGCUAUAGUAAUUAAAACAGUGUGAUACUGGUACAUGGAUAGAUCAGAUUAGUGGGACAAAACAGAGGACACUGAAAGAGACCCCAAUCUAAGGGAAUUUAGUAUUAGAAAAGUAUAGGAUACAUUUUAAAACUUGGUAUGUGGAUACCCUCUCUAAACAAGAGAAGUUCAAAAGCCAAAUGGGAAAAGACUGAUAGAUUUGACUGAAUAAAAAUUUCAAAGCACACACCUGCACCACUGCACUGCAUACAAAAGGAAAAUACAUUCCGAGGGAAAAAAUGACUUGUGAGAAUAUGCUGUAUCUGCAACAGUUAUAUUUAUAGAGACAGAAAAUCCCAUCACACAAAGAGCCCCUUCAAAUCACUCAUAAAGAUACAGGGAUCCUAAUAGGAAAAUGAGCAAAGGGUAUGAACAGGUAUUUCACAGAAGAUAAAUAAGAACUAGUCAAUAAGCAAAGUUACUUAUUCUCACACAAAGUAAGUUAAAACAAGUUUUUUAACUCACCAUAUGACAAAAAUUAAAUUUUGAUACUAUCCAUUGGUCAUUCAGUGAAUAAAUUCGUUGAACCCUUGCUCUGUGUCAAGCAUAUGCUAGUUAAGGGCAUAAUGACAAGCAGAACAGUCAGUCUCUGGACUCAGUGCUUUUAGUCUAGUGAGGGUGACAAUUACUAACAAAAUACACAGAUGCCCAUAUAUAAUUACAAACAUAAUUGCAAAUUAUGUAAACACUAGAGAGAGUUAAGUAUAGAAAUCAGUGAGAGUGCACAAUCAAAUGGACCUUACUCAGAGAUCACAAUGGGAUCAGCGAACACUGCUCUGAGGAAGAGUUGUCUGAGAUGAAAUAUAAAGGAUGAAAUCAAAUGAACGAAUGAAAUUAUGGUGUGAAGGGACCGAUAGCCUUUUCAGGUAGAGCAAAUUAACAUGCUCAAAGGUCCUGAGAUGUGUGGCUUUUGGGGAAAGGAGGUUAGCACAGUCAGAGGAGAGUAAUGUAAGAGCUUGAACAGACAGAUGCAGCGUCGUGGACCAUGUUAAGGACUUUGCCUUUACUUCAGGGCAAUCAAAGGCCAUCAAAUUGUGUUAAGCAGAGGAAUAUGUUUGUAAGUGGUUUUAUAAACAUCAGGCUGAAUUGCGUGUGAAUAAAAGAUUUGGGGAAAUGGAUGUGGUGAAGUUAUAGCAAGAUUCCAAGUGAGAAAAAAAUAGUUUGAACAAGAUUAGUAGUUAAGAUUAAACAGGAUACAUGUCAAUCUCAUCAUGUCCCAAAAUAAACUCGUUUCUUCUCUCCUAAA